UAGCAGUAGGUCAUGAGGAAGCAGCAGAGAGGAGGCAGUAGAGAGCAGAGGAGACAGCAGAGGACAGAGAAGAAGCAGCAGAGACCAAUCAGAAAGACACAGAGACUGAUUAAUACAGGUGUGGCUCUAGGAGUCACACUCUCUUGAUCCUUUGUGUCCACAUGGACUGUUGACUCUGCUCGUGGUACAGCACUGACUGCCGUUUAUUUUAGUUAGUAUUUUAUCUUUUAGCCAGAUUGAUUUAAUUGUUUUAUUGUUUUAAUUAUAGGAUUUUAAUUGUUUUAGAAUUUUAACAUUCUGUCUUCUUUUGUUCUUAGUGUUGCGGCUGGUGGGGUCCUCCAUUCACCGGUGUGGUUGAGACGCUGGGAGUUCACUUUAGUUGGUGAUAUGGUUUGCGGUUGCACAUUGUAUUAGUUUGGUGUUUUCAUUUGAAGUGUGAUGGAUUUGUAUUUCUUUUGUAUAUUUAGUUCCUCCCAGUGUCCUAGGCAGUGAGUGGUUGGUCUCCCAGCCGUGAUAUGACUGUCUGUCCUCUCUUCCUUCAUACUGUGUUCUUUUAGAAUUUUAUUUGUAUAAUAAAUGGCAGAUUGACCCACAUUGA